rnacentral:rRNA from 1 species
GGCGGACGCUGGCGGCGUGCUUAACACAUGCAAGUCGAACGGAAAGGCCCUGCUUUUGUGGGGUGCUCGAGUGGCGAACGGGUGAGUAACACGUGAGUAACCUGCCCUUGACUUUGGGAUAACUUCAGGAAACUGGGGCUAAUACCGGAUAGGAGCUCCUGCUGCAUGGUGGGGGUUGGAAAGUUUCGGCGGUUGGGGAUGGACUCGCGGCUUAUCAGCUUGUUGGUGGGGUAGUGGCUUACCAAGGCUUUGACGGGUAGCCGGCCUGAGAGGGUGACCGGCCACAUUGGGACUGAGAUACGGCCCAGACUCCUACGGGAGGCAGCAGUGGGGAAUAUUGCACAAUGGGCGGAAGCCUGAUGCAGCAACGCCGCGUGCGGGAUGACGGCCUUCGGGUUGUAAACCGCUUUCGCCUGUGACGAAGCGUGAGUGACGGUAAUGGGUAAAGAAGCACCGGCUAACUACGUG